AAUAAAUUAAAAAUUAAAGCCAUUUACGGCAGCGUGCAGCUGCCAUUGGCCGGGUUCGUUAGCAAAUGACACGCCCGGCUGAUAACGAGACGGAAUAAAACCAGGAAUUACGGCUGCAAAACCACAGCUGGAAAGGAAGGUGGGAGGGCCGUAAGAUGGGAAAGGCGAAAUUCAGCAAAUUGGAAAUAAUUCUUAUCGUCCUCUUCUGCUUGGCGGUGGCUGUGGCUUGCGUCCUCAUUGGCAUUUUGGCGACGAAGGAAGAAACAAUAGUAAAUAGUGGUGAUACUGGUAAUACUGAUUUUUCCCCGACCUGCCUGAACUUGACAGCAGCCGAGAGAAUCGACUGCAUCCCGGAUCAAUUCGCCACCAAGGUCUGG